rnacentral:lncRNA from 1 species
AUGUGUUUCGUGGACUCGAAGAAGGCCUACGACCGUGUUCCCCGGGAAAUUCUGUGGGAGGUGCUUCGGGAGUAUGGGGUACCGGGGCCACUACUGCGGGCCAUUCGGUCCUUGUACAUACGGAGCGAAAGCUGUGUCCGCAUACUCGGCAUUAAAUCAGGCCUGUUCAGUGUGGGUGUUGGACUCUGCCAAGGUUGUGCCUUGUCUCCACUCCUGUUUGUGGAUUUCAUGGACAGGAUAUCAAGGCGCAGUCGAGGUCAGGAGGGCAUUCCGCGUGGGAGUCGGAAGGUGACGUCUCUGCUUUUUGCGGAUGAUGAUGUCCUUUUGGCACCGUCACAUGGCUGCCUCCAGCACGCACCGGAACGGUUUGCGGCCGAGUGUGAAGCGGUGGGAAUGAGGAUCAGCACCUCAAAGUCUGAGUCCACGGUUCUCUCACGGAAAAGGAUGGCAUGCCCCCUCCAGGUAAGGGGAGCGUUUUUGCCCCAGGUGGAGGAGUUCAAGUAUCUUGGGGUCUUGUUCACGAGUGAGGGAAGAAGGGAGCGUGAGAUCGGCCGCAGGCUGGGAGCAGCGGCAGCAGUAAUGCGGUCGCUGUACCGGACUGUACUGGGGAAGGGGGAGCUGAGCCAUAAGGCGAAGCUCUCCAUUUACCGGUCGAUCUACGUCCCUACCCUCAUCUAUGGUCAUCAACUCUGGGUGAUGACCGAAAGAAUAAGAUCGCGGAUACAAGCGGCCGAAAUGAGUUUUCGCCGUAGGGGGCUGGGACUCACUCUCCGUGACAGGGUGAGGAGUUCGGACAUCCCGGAGGAGCUCAGAGUAGAGCCGCUACUCCUUCACAUUGAGAGGAGCCAGUUGAGGUGGUUUGGGCUAAGAAUAAGGACCCGCUGGAGGGAUUAUAUCUCACAGUUGGCCUGGGAACGGCUGGGGAUCCCCCAGGUUGAGCUGGAGGAAGUUGCGGGGGACAGGGGCGGCUGGGCCUCUCUGCUCUCCCUGCUCCCACCGUGA